GAUGAACGCUGGCGGCGUGCCUAAUACAUGCAAGUCGAGCGAACAGACGAGGAGCUUGCUCCUUUGACGUUAGCGGCGGACGGGUGAGUAACACGUGGGUAACCUACCUAUAAGACUGGGAUAACUUCGGGAAACCGGAGCUAAUACCGGAUAAUAUUUCGAACCGCAUGGUUCGAUAGUGAAAGAUGGCUUUGCUAUCACUUAUAGAUGGACCUGCGCCGUAUUAGCUAGUUGGUAAGGUAACGGCUUACCAAGGCAACGAUACGUAGCCGACCUGAGAGGGUGAUGGGCCACACUGGAACUGAGACACGGUCCAGACUCCUACGGGAGGCAGCAGUAGGGAAUCUUCCGCAAUGGGCGAAAGCCUGACGGAGCAACGCCGCGUGAGUGAUGAAGGUCUUCGGAUCGUAAAACUCUGUUAUUAGGGAAGAACAAACGUGUAAGUAACUGUGCACGUCUUGACGGUACCUAAUCAGAAAGCCACGGCUAACUACGUG
rnacentral:rRNA from 1 species